UUAAAUUAAAUCUAAAAAAGGCCCCCGCGGUAAGGUCCCCAAAACUUUACUCUUCAUAAUAUUCUAUACUUUCAUUUACAUCUUAUUUAAUAUAGUGAAAAAUUGUACUUACUCGUUGGAUGUCGUGACAGGAGCUUUCAAGUGAACUGCCGUCAAAUGUCUUCCGAUAGAUCCUGUAGUACCACCACGACAGGAAAACUCAUUAUUUGUGCGAUCAUUGCACAAGGUACAAAAAGCUGUAUCUCCGACUCUGGUGGCAUAUCUCCACACCCAACUUCUCUUCAUUGUUAAUAGUUUAAACACACUAUUAGAGUAACACUAACAAUAACAAAACAAAAAAUAACGAAACAUCAACAAAAACAACUUUAAAUUCACGGCUAAAUUAUAACUUGAAGACCAACUGUGAUGUCAGGAGUAACUAAUGACAAUGAAUGUGAGUUCAAAAUUCUAAACUGCCCCCUCCAGAUUAAAUAAAAAAAUACCACGAAUUUGUAAAACAAAAUAUCGCUGUCACUUCUUUCAACUUCACAAACAAAAGGUAAAGCCCACAGCUACUUAUGUGUAUUGUUUGUUUCAUUUUAAUAAGUCGCUCGCAAAUCUUAUUAUCUUUGUCUGCACGUGCAACUGCACUUCUUAUCUACAAAAAAAACCCGGUAGGUUGGCUUAGCUUGUUAGUCAUACAAUAAAACACUCUAACAAUAAUAUGUCAUUAUUACCUUCAGUCUAGAAAUAAACACAGUCUUUAAUGUGCCGAAAGUUCGAAACUGAUAAGAACUGCAGCUGCGUACUUUUUUUUCCGUGGCCCCGUACAUGUGUUUUUGUUGAAUUUGUUUACCUGUAUUACCUUUAUCAUACCUACCGAAGAUUUGCAGAAAUUUACCCUUUUGGGCUUUUGAAUUAGGAUUGCCUUGUUUAUAUUUAGGCUACGUUAUAUUCUUUGAUAGUAGCAAGCUUUUACAAGUAUGUUUCAUUCAUUUAAUUAUUACUUAACAGAAAAAAUUUUUUCUCUUGAUUUAAUAAUAACAACCAGUAGCAUAGCGUUGCUUAAGUUCAUAAUUAUAAUGAUACUUACUAGGGAGUUUUACACCUUAUACAUAUUUAAUAUAAAUAUAGUGCAAUGCAACGGGCAGGUCGCUAGUUUUGACUAAAAUCAAUAGCUGAUUAUACAGAAAACAGAAUAACCCCAUAAAUUAUUUAGAUAUAACCAUUAUAUUCAAAUCGAUGUAAAAAAUACAAUUUAAGUUUAAUUCACACGUAAAUGUUUGUCCGACGAACGUCCCGUAUUCAAUAUACUAAGUGGUAACUCAAUUCAAUAAUACAUACUUAGUCCUUAUUUAUUUUUCUCCCGGGCGUGUCGAACCUACGAGACGUGCGAUAAGUAUUCAACGGAACCGAGCCCGAAGCUCACGCAGGUACGGGCUACGUAUCAUGGCGUGUCACGGCGUGUCACGUGAAUCCGGACGCGAACGCAGGUACGAGGUACGUACCUUGCCGUGUUCGUGAAAUUCGUGAUCUUAGUACCGCCGGGCUUAAGAACCCGUAGCUACGGAUCGGCGUGUAUCACGGAUAUCAGGAGCCCUA